rnacentral:lncRNA from 1 species
AGCCGAUGAGUCAAACCCGUAUGGUGAGGAUUUAUACACAGGAGAGGAAGGCAUGUUGUUGGAUGGAUAACUUGCGCGAAGGUGGUUCAUGUUUUGGCGCGUCUGAAGGGUGUUUAGAGUUUGCAUCUGUGUGGAUGUUGAAGGUUGUACAGAAAGUCCAUGUAGCUGAGAUAAUGUAGAAGCAUCAGCAGAUGCUAACAGCUCAUCAAGGUUAGUUGGAUGCAAAUCACCCAUCCGUCUUCGGAAGGAUGGGGAAGAAAUUCUAGCAAUCUCUUCAAUCAAUUGCUGCUGCUGCUGCUGUUGACAAGCGUGGCUAGGACUUCCUAGGCCGAGCAGUUCCAUCUCGAAAUCGAGAUCCCUGGCACUCAAAGCAGCCUUCAGCUGGCUACUCGGAAGCUGCAAUGAUGAUAGAUUAAGGUUGGUUUGGUUCUGCCACAUGUUUCCACUCUUGGGAGAUGAAGCUGCCAAAGUUGACAUUGGUGGUGUUGAAACAGUUGACAUGGGCAAUGACGAACUGAGACACAAUGGACUCAUUAGUGUCAUGUCAGGUGCACUAGCUGAAUAGGAUUUUGGUGAAGGCAUCGCUGAACCAGUGGAAGCAUACACAGGGCGCAACUCUUCAGGUUUGUGAGCAAAAAAGCAGACCUUUCUAUUGCAGCCAGUCUCAUCCUUGCAAAGCCUUGUCCGGUAUUGUGCAGGAUGUAGCCAGGACUCAAAAACACCAUGUGCAUACUCACAGGAAUCUCCCUUUUGGCAGGCCCCCUUGCGAAACUCAGGGCAGGGAACACAACUGUAAGGGUAUUUCCACUGGUUUGAUGUACUAGCUUCAUCUGUAAUCAAGACUCAAGACAACUAUUGAUAGAGUCAAACCCAUGUUAGUGUUGUCUUUUCCAAGAACUCAUAUCAAUGCUAUUAAUGAGAUAGAAAGAUGUUUUGUGCUGAUCAUAGGCCACUUAUCUAUUUAUUAUACAAAUGCAUAUGCAUAGUAGUUUUCCCAUCAUUGGAGCUACUAGCCUUGUAAAACGUUUUAAUUUAUAUACUUGUACAUAAUAUCCUAGUUUCAUGUUCUGUCAACCUCCGAGGAUGUCAUGGGAAUUAAUUACAAAACCAUAUGUUUAUACACUUGUUCAAUGUGCAAAACCAUAUGUUUUUUUCAAUCUUCACUCUUACGCAUAUGUUUAAUUACAAAUUAUGAAUUCAAAGUUCAAUGUGCAAAAACAUUCAGAAUUGAUUUUAGUAGUAGGGAUGAAGAUGAUGCUACUAUGCAUACUGAGAUCUUGGAACUAACUAUUAAGUAAGAUCCUCUCCGGCCGGCGUCCAUGAGAAUAUCCAGUGUGUUGCGGAAGACCAGAUGGGCUCUUAGCUGCCUUUCAAGAUGGCAAAUCUUUCCAGUAAGCUAUAAGCUUUGCAAAAGUAAAAUUAGUACGAAUCAUUAAAUUCUGACUUAUUGUAUCACUCAAACAAAGACACUUCUCGGCCUUGAAUCAUGAUUGCCGUUGCUAUUUUUACUCAAAUAAUUCAUGUCUCAAACUAUAAAAAAAAAGACAGGUGUUUAAGUGGGUUCAGGAUAUACUUUAUUUUGUUUAUUAAUGCUACAAUGAAUAGUGUCAGCACACAAGAAAUUCCCGUUUAAGUACUUCGUAGCUUUGACAAAAAGGUAUGUAACAAUAUUUAAUUAAAAAAAUGUGCUGAUUUAUCAAUAACAAAUACCUUGUUCACUUGCUAACUAAAUAAAAUACAUCCACCCAUUUGAGAAGGGAAGGGGAGAUAAAUUAUGAAUUAUAAAAAUUCAGCAACCUUGCUUCAUGGAAGAAUUCUUCAACUCUUCCUUGAUCUACAAGUUAGUACUUGAUCAAAUAUGUAAUCUGGAUUAACCUGAACUUUGUCAAUCCUUAACUAUAUGUAAUGUUGGAUAGUAGUAACAGAACAAACAAAUAAAUAAUAAAUAGAACUUUGUGGUCAGAAUCGCCUCUAAAGAAGCAUCUCGCAUGGCAGCACUUAAUACUCAUGCUACCAUUUGUUCCUGCUGUUCUAUGUACAGCUGCUCUACCCAUGGUGGAAGCAUCUCUUUACUGAGAUCAUAUUGCUGCUGCUGCUGCUGCUUCUUCUCAGCACCAAAUCUCUCCGACCUAUCUCUAACCAAUGAAUGAACCCAUGGCACAUCUGGCUCAACAAGUUCUGAUUGUGCCAUAGGGGAUGAUACCCCAUUGUUUCUGAACCCAAAUGAAGCAGAUUUCCUCAGCUUGCUCAAUUCAUCUUCGUUUACACCCCAGUCCAGCUUCCCAGUCGGGGAACCCCAAUCUGAAAGGGCAGAGGACUGCCUACAGGAGGGGCUGGAGGGUGAAGACAGCCCAAGAUGGUUUGCUGCAGCACCACGAUCAAUGAAACUCUGGCUUCGCCUCGCGAAGGCAGCAGACCUAGAAUUCAUUGUUGCUGCUGCGACAGCAGCCGAUGAGUCAAACCCGUAUGGUGAGGAUUUAUACACAGGAGAGGAAGGCAUGUUGUUGGAUGGAUAACUUGCGCGAAGGUGGUUCAUGUUUUGGCGCGUCUGAAGGGUGUUUAGAGUUUGCAUCUGUGUGGAUGUUGAAGGUUGUACAGAAAGUCCAUGUAGCUGAGAUAAUGUAGAAGCAUCAGCAGAUGCUAACAGCUCAUCAAGGUUAGUUGGAUGCAAAUCACCCAUCCGUCUUCGGAAGGAUGGGGAAGAAAUUCUAGCAAUCUCUUCAAUCAAUUGCUGCUGCUGCUGC